GCUACAGACCAGGUCUUCGACUCUCGUUUGGGAGUAGGAAAGUCCGGACAGCAAAGUGCAAUGCACCGGUGAAUAGCCGGGCACUGGGUAACCAGUGACAGCAAGUGCCACAGAAAAUAACUGCCUUUAGCAAUAAAGGUGAGGAUGAAAACGUGGGGUAAGAGCCCACGGUCUUCGCUGGUAACAGCGAAGACGGGUAAACCUUGCAUGCUGAAAUGCCACGUAUAGUAACCUUUGAGAGCGGCACGUUCGAGCACUGAAAAGACAGGUUACAGGGUAGGCAGCUUGACCAAAAAGGGCAACUUUUUUGGCAGAUAAAUGAAGGCCCUCGACAGAAUCCGGCUUACAGGUCUGUAGCUUUU
rnacentral:RNase_P_RNA from 1 species